rnacentral:rRNA from 1 species
GAUGAACGCUAGCGACAGGCCUAACACAUGCAAGUCGAGGGGCAGCAUGGUAGUAGCUUGCUACUAUUGAUGGCGACCGGCGCACGGGUGAGUAACACGUAUGCAACCUGCCUGUAAGCGGGGGAUAACCCAGAGAAAUCUGGACUAAUACCGCAUAAUAUCACAGUUUCGCAUGUUAUUGUGAUUAAAGAUUUAUUGCUUACAGAUGGGCAUGCGUCUGAUUAGCUAGUUGGCGGGGUAACGGCCCACCAAGGCGACGAUCAGUAGGGGUUCUGAGAGGAAGGUCCCCCCACAUUGGAACUGAGACACGGUCCAAACUCCUACGGGAGGCAGCAGUNAGGAUAUUGGUCAAUGGUCUGACGACUGAACCAGCCAUGCCGCGUGAAGGUCACGGGCCCUAUGGGUCUUAAAACUUCUUUUUGUAAGGGAGCAAUAAGUCUCACGUGUGGGAUGAUGAGAGUACCUUACGAAUAGCAUCGG